UACGAAGGGGGCUAGCGUUGUUCGGAAUUACUGGGCGUAAAGGGCGCGUAGGCGGUGCUGUAAGUCAGGCGUGAAAUCCCCGGGCUCAACCUGGGAAUUGCGUUUGAUACUGCGGCGCUGGAAUGCGGGAGAGGAUGGCGGAAUUCCCAGUGUAGAGGUGAAAUUCGUAGAUAUUGGGAAGAACACCGGUGGCGAAGGCGGCGACCUGGUCCGAUACUGACGCUGAGGCGCGAAAGCGUGGGGAGCAAACAGG
rnacentral:rRNA from 1 species